rnacentral:rRNA from 1 species
UGGGGAAUAUUGCACAAUGGGCGAAAGCCUGAUGCAGCGACGCCGCGUGAGGGAUGACGGCCUUCGGGUUGUAAACCUCUUUCAGCAGGGACGAAGCGCAAGUGACGGUACCUGCAGAAGAAGCACCGGCUAACUACGUGCCAGCAGCCGCGGUAAUACGUAGGGUGCAAGUGUUGUCCGGAAUUACUGGGCGUAAAGAGUUCGUAGGCGGUUUGUCGCGUCGUUUGUGAAAACCAGCAGCUCAACUGCUGGCUUGCAGGCGAUACGGGCAGACUUGAGUACUGCAGGGGAGACUGGAAUUCCUGGUGUAGCGGUGAAAUGCGCAGAUAUCAGGAGGAACACCGGUGGCGAAGGCGGGUCUCUGGGCAGUAACUGACGCUGAGGAACGAAAGCGUGGGUAGCGAACAGG